rnacentral:lncRNA from 1 species
CUCUGAUAUGGUGAUAGCAGAAUCCCAAGAGAGGCCAGUUUUGGGCAGGAGUGAAGAAAUGACUGGGAAGCAUGUGCUCAAGGACAGGGUGUUUCCAUCUAUAAUGUCAACAAUAAUUGUGGAGGUAUUGUUGCUUAGGCAGUUUUGAAGAGUCAGAAGUGGGAUAUAAUUGAAGAGUUCAUUACCAGGACCCGUUGGUCCCCUGACUACAGUAGAAG